UUACACACUAACAUCUUCAAAUCUACUUGUACUAUCCUUGACAGAGUCUGCACUUUUAUCAUCGAUUCAGGUAGCUGCAGUAACGUUAUUUCCGACUAUGCGGUACAGAAAUUGGGUCUGAAGGUCGAAAUCCAUCCGACGCCGUAUUCGCUUGGUUGGGUUCAAGAUGGCGUUGGCGUGCACAUUUCACACCGUGUUAUGGUUCCUUUCUCGAUCGGCC
rnacentral:lncRNA from 1 species